rnacentral:rRNA from 1 species
GACGAACGCUGGCGGCGUGCUUAACACGUGCAAGUCGAACGGAAAGGCCCCUUUGGGGGUACUCGAGUGGCGCACGGGUGAGUAACACGUGAGUAACCUGCCCUUGACUUCGGGAUAACUUCAGGAAACUGGGGCUAAUACCGGAUAGGAAUCCUUGCUGCAUGGUGGGGGUUGGAAAGCUUCGGCGGUUUUGGAUGGACUCGCGGCUUAUCAGCUUGUUGGUGGGGUAGUGGCUUACCAAGGCUUUGACGGGUAGCCGGCCUGAGAGGGCGACCGGCCACAUUGGGACUGAGAUACGGCCCAGACGCCUACGGGAGGCAGCAGUGGGGAAUAUUGCACAAGGGGCGGAAGCCUGAUGCAGCAACGCCGCGUGCGGGAUGACGGCCUUCGGGUUGUAAACCGCGUUCAGCAGGGGCGAAGCUUGUGGUGACGGUACCUGCAGAAGAAGCACCGGCUAACUACGUG